ACUUUAGCUAGAAUAAGAUACAUAAGCUAAUUCUACGAAUGGGCCACAAAGAAACAUACUUCACCACUUUGGGCCUAUACUAACUUCAUCAGCCCAAUAAGACAAAACACAAAAACCCACUUCUCUUGUUGACUUUUCUUCUUCUUCUUCUCAUGUCUUCUCUCUUACGACCAAGCCGACCACUUCGUCUUCUUCUUCAAGGUUUCAAUCUUCUUGUUCUUCAUCAUCGUUUGACUCAUAGUAGUUUUCUCUUUUGCAGGCUCAAUCGAAAACUCAACUCUCAACACUCCCUCUUGAGUUUUCGAUUUGAGGUCUCGAUUCCAAGUUAGAAUUUUGAAUCUUGAUGCUUUUACUUCUUCGGUACUGGUUCCUUUUCUCUUCAUCGAAGGAGAGCUCUUCAGGGCAUCGACAUAACUCAUCGUCUCAGUUGUGUUCACUUUGGUCUUCUUUUUCAUAAAAUCUGGAGAGAAAUCUAUAUCUCCAAACUUGAUGACAUUUAAAUUUUCAACCACUGGUUUCUUCUCUAAUCCAAUUUUGCUCCCUCUCAAUCUUAGGUGAGCUUUCAAAUUUCUCCACCGUGUCUCCUUUCGACACCACAUUGUUCAGCUUGGUUCCGUGAACCACAUCUUUGGUUUCUUUAACUUUGUUUUCUUCUUUUCCAAGUUCAGAACCAGUCUGGUUCUUACCUUCACUCACUGAUUUUCCUUUCACUGCUUCAGCUCCGAUCUUCUUAGGUUGAUACAUCACAGAUUUGUUCUUCUCUUCAGCAUUUUUCUCAGUACACCAAGAUUGCAUCAUCUUUUGAUUUUCGACUUUAGUGUGUCCAGCAUCUUGACGACCAGAUUCAACAUUUUCUUUCGCAACCACCAUUGUUGCUUCUUCAUUUGCUGACAUUUUUAGAUGGAAACUCUUCUUGAUCAUUGGUACCUCUGCUAUCUUUCUCCCAGCUGGAUCAUGAAUGGUACAGCCUCUUUGAUCGAAGCUCCAUUACCUACACAUAUAAGAACAUUGAAGCUUUUGUUGAGAUUUGAGAAUAGCUUUUCAUCUGAAGCCAUAUGAUUUGUGCAUCCACUAAUGAGCCAGACAUUCUCUUCAGUUUGCAGUCUUUUAUUAGAUGACCCACUUUGCCACAGUGAAAACAACUCCAAUUCCUAGUGUCUCUGUUUCUGUUGAAAUCAGACUUCUGAACCGUGCAUGAAAGGCUCCUUCUGCAUCUUCUUCAUCUUCAGGGAAGAAUUUCUUUUCAUGUGCCUCAAGAGAUCCAAGUAGCUCAGCAUAGGUAACUGUUUGUAGAUCCCUAGUUUCUUCCAUUAAGGAUGACAGACCAGCAUAACUUUUUGGCAUAGAGGCCAGCAUUUUUACCACUAAAUCAAAGUUUGAUUUCCCUUCACCUAGAGCUCUCAUCUGAUUUGCUACAGCCUGAAUCCUAUCCGAUGCCCCAGGAGUUUCCAUGCUUGGUGUGAUGAAGAUGCAGAGAGGAUCUUGUCAAAGACCACAUCAGCCACAUCAUGCUGAAUAAUUUGGAGAGCAGCAGUGUCUUUAGCUUUUAGGGCCUUCAGGGCAGCAUCUUUUCCUUUAUCUGGAGUUUCAGUUGAUUGAGUUGUAGCUUCUGGUACUCCAUCUUUGACGACUUCCCAUAGAUCUUUAUUCAAGAGUGUAGUUUUCAUUCUUGCAGCCCAGAACUCAUAGUUCUGACCAUCAAAGACUGCAACCAGUUGAGAGGACUGCAAGUUUAACGCCAUGCUCCAAGAACAAGAUGAGCUCUGAUACCAUGUUGUUUUUCUGCUUAGAUCACAGAUUUGUUUUUCUUUUCUCUUAAACUUUCAUACUUUCAUACAUUACAUCCAAUGUUUACACAAUACAACUUAUAGAGAUUUCUUCUACUCACUACAACCACUCUCUUAGGGGGGUUUAUUGGAUCAUUGAUUUGAA